rnacentral:tRNA from 1 species
GAAUAAAUGGCGUAAUCUAGCGUGUACGGUUUCGGGUCGUAAGGAGCAAUAUGCUUUAUUCU